UUUUAUGUACAAGGUAAUAAUGAACAUUGAAAAUUAAAAUAAAGUAUAUACAAUGCAUAAGGUAUAUAUGGAGAGCUAAAAAAUGUGAUUCAACUUUGAGUCUUAUGCAUGAUGAUUUUAAAGCGACUAUUAAUCUUUCGUUUCAUCACUUUGCCUUUCGACUUUUUUUUUCUUUUAAGUUUUUCUUUUUCCUUCUCUCUAAAAGAUAUUCUCUCUUUAUUACUCGAGGAAUUAGGUUCUUAAUGGAAAAGGCAUAUCGGGCGGAGCAGAUCAUGCAGAACAGGUGGAUAAUACAUCUCAACAAUAACCUAAGCUUAUCAAACGGAUCUGACGGUACAUAGGCAUGGCCACGGUUACGGUUACGAUUUAUUAACCACCGGUUACGGUUACAAAUUUUCUUUAACCUUAACCGCUGAAUAUACGGUUAAAAUGGUUACGGUUGAAUACGAUUACGUUUAAAUACAGUUACGGUUAUUAGAUAAUUAUAAUACUAUAUGAAGCAAAAUAUUAUAUUUUCUUAAAUAAUAUUUUUUAAAAGAAUAAUUAUAUAAACUAUUUUUUACAACAAAUAAAUAAACUACGAAAUGAUUAAGGUACUAUUUAAGUGAAAUAAUUAUGCAAUUAGAAAAAUGAAGUAACCAAAAAAUUCAUAUUUAUUAAUUAUUA
rnacentral:sRNA from 1 species